GACGAACGCUGGCGGCGUGCCUAAUACAUGCAAGUAGAACGCACAGUUUAUACCGUAGCUUGCUACACCAUAAACUGUGAGUUGCGAACGGGUGAGUAACGCGUAGGUAACCUGCCUGGUAGCGGGGGAUAACUAUUGGAAACGAUAGCUAAUACCGCAUAAUAUUAAUUAUUGCAUGAUAAUUGAUUGAAAGAUGCAAUUGCAUCACUACCAGAUGGACCUGCGUUGUAUUAGCUAGUAGGUGAGGUAACGGCUCACCUAGGCGACGAUACAUAGCCGACCUGAGAGGGUGAUCGGCCACACUGGGACUGAGACACGGCCCAGACUCCUACGGGAGGCAGCAGUAGGGAAUCUUCGGCAAUGGACGAAAGUCUGACCGAGCAACGCCGCGUGAGUGAAGAAGGUUUUCGGAUCGUAAAGCUCUGUUGUAAGAGAAGAACGGGUGUGAGAGUGGAAAGUUCACACUGUGACGGUAUCUUACCAGAAAGGGACGGCUAACUACAUG
rnacentral:rRNA from 1 species